rnacentral:tRNA from 1 species
GCCUGGGUGGCUCAGUCGGUUGAGCGUCCGACUUCGGCUCAGGUCACGAUCUCACAGUUUGUGGGUUCAAGCCCCGUGUUGGGCU